CGGGAAGAGCUCAAAUUUGAAAUCUGGCGUCCUCAGGGCGUCCGAGUCGUUUCUAUAGAGGCGUUUUCCGUGCCGGACCGUGUCCAAGUUCCUUGGAACAGGAUAUCAAAGAGGGUGACAAUCCCGUACUUGACACGACGACCGGUGCUCUGUGAUACGUCUUCUACGAGUCGAGUUGUUUGGGAAUGCAGCUCAAAAUGGGUGGUGAGUUCCAUCUAAAGCUAAAUAUUGGCGAGAGACCGAUAGCGAACAAGUACCGUGAGGGAAAGAUGAAAAGCACUUUGGAAAGAGAGUUAAACAGUACGUGAAAUUGUUGAAAGGGAAACGAUUGAAGUCAGUCGUGACCGAGAGGCUCAGCCGGUUCUGCCGGUGUAUUCCCCUCGGUCGGGUCAACAUCAGUUUUGUCCGGUGGAUAAGGGCGGUAGGAAGGUGGCACCCUCGGGUGUGUUAUAGCCUGCCGUCGCAUACAUCGGGUGAGACUGAGGAACGCAGCUCGCCUUUAUGGCCGGGGUUCGCCCACGUCCGAGCUUAGGAUGUUGACAUAAUGGCUUUAAACGACCCGUCU
rnacentral:rRNA from 1 species